ensembl:rRNA 5S_rRNA 5S ribosomal RNA
GUCCAUGGCCAUACCACCCUGAAUAUACCCAAGCUCGUCUGAUCUCAGAAGCUAAGCAGGGUCAGGCCUGGUUAGUACUUGGAUGGGAGAAGUUUGAGACCAGACUGGGCAACAUGUUGGCA